rnacentral:pre_miRNA from 1 species
AUUCUACUCCCUCUGUUGCACAAUACAUGCCUUCUAUUUGUAAAAAUAUAUAUGUAUCUAGACAUGUCUUAGUAUAUAGGUACAUCCAUUUUUGGACAAAUGGAAGUCAAGUAUUUUGGAACGGAGGGAGUACACA